rnacentral:tRNA from 1 species
GCCCGGUUAGCUCAAUCGGUAGAGCGUGAGACUCUUAGAAUGCCUCAGCAACAAAGUUGCUCUGGUAUGAGUACGCGAUCUCAAGGUUACGGGUUCGACCCCCGCAUCGGGCU